GUGAAAGCCAGAUUAAAGGUCUUGCUAGACGAGCUGAGAGGAGGUGCAUGGCCGUCGCCAGUUCGUGCCGUGAGGUGUCCUGUUAAGUGAGGUAACGAACGAGACCCGCGUCCUCUGUUGCAACCAGUCUUGUGCUGGGCACACUGAGGAGACCGCCACUGAUAAAGUGGAGGAAGGAGCGGGCCACGGCAGGUCAGUAUGCCCCGAAUCUCCCGGGCCACACGCGAGCUGCAAUGGCAGGUACAAUGGGUUCCGACCUCGAAAGGGGAAGGUAAUCUCGAAAGCCUGCCGUAGUUGGGAUCGAGGGUUGUAACCCAUCCUCGUGAACAUGGAAUCCCUAGUAACCGCGCGUCAUCAUCGCGCAGUGAAUACGUCCCUGCUCCUUGCACA
rnacentral:rRNA from 1 species